rnacentral:rRNA from 1 species
GAUGAACGCUAGCUACAGGCUUAACGCAUGCAAGUCGAGGGGUAACGAGAGGAAAGCUUGCUUUCCUUGUCGACGACCGGCGCACGGGUGAGUAGCGCGUAUCCAACCUGCCCCCAACUAGGGAAUAACCUUGCGAAAGUAAGACUAAUACCCUAUAAUUUCCUCAGAUGCCAUCUGACGAGGAAUAAAGAUUUAUCGGUUGUGGAUGGGGAUGCGUCUGAUUAGCUUGUUGGCGGGGUAACGGCCCACCAAGGCAACGAUCAGUAGGGGUUCUGAGAGGAAGGUCCCCCACAUUGGAACUGAGACACGGUCCAAACUCCUACGGGAGGCAGCAGUGAGGAAUAUUGGUCAAUGGGCGGAAGCCUGAACCAGCCAAGUAGCGUGCAGGAUGACGGCCCUAUGGGUUGUAAACUGCUUUUAUACAGGAAUAAAGUUAGCCACGUGUGGUUAUUUGUAGGUACUGUAUGAAUAAGGACCGGCUAAUUCCGUGCCAGCAGCCGCAGUAA